CACUCUCAAAAGAGUAUCAUAUAAAUAAAGAUCCAAAAACCCGCUCCGUUGGUCUUCCCUUCCUAUUGCGUCCAAGCAACUUGCUGAAACGAACUUUCUUCUUCAAUUCGAUUCAAUUCUUUCAUGAAUACCAUCAUUUUCUCUGUCUCAAGUUAAGGGAGAUGGGCGGUUGCUGUUGCUGUUCUUCCAAAGAAACUGAACUGAGCGAUCCACCUGCGUACUUCUAUCACCCAAGAGCAUCCGAGGAGCGUGUUCCUCUAUCAUCUAAUCAUGGUUCUGCCUCGGCUUUCUCCAGAGGGCUCCUAGUUGAUACUAAUCUUGAAACUUCAAGCCCUGAUACUUAUAGACCACCCCCUGUUCCUGUUCCUUACAGCAGUGUCACUUUGGUUGCCGCUCAAACUCCACCCAGGGUUAAUGAAAUUAGUGAAAAUAAGACUAAUGCAUCCCUUCAAUCAACAAAUCCUAAUUCAGUUCAAGAAAUAGUUACUAGUGAUGGUCAUGGAAACUUGACCAAGUUGGAAGAGCAGAAGGAACUAGAGGGUAGAGUUCAGAGUGAGUUGGAACUGGACUCAGCUAAGGAUUCAGAAAUUGAACUUCAAAAGCUAGAAGAACCUGUCAUUUUAGCAGAAGAGGAGGAUGUAUGUCCUAUCUGUUUAGAAGAGUAUGAUGCGGAGAAUCCAAAACUCAGCACAAAAUGUGAUCAUCACUUUCACCUUGCAUGCAUUCUGGAAUGGAUGGAAAGAAGUGAAAGCUGUCCUGUGUGUGAUAAGAAUCUUUGUGUUGAAUUUGAUUACAUCUGAAAGAGGACAGGUUGCCGUGGCAAUAACCUGGGUUUAAACUCAGUGGCAUCCCUUUGGCCAUAAGUUUCAUUCCUGGUGUUAAACUCAGUUUCAUUCCUUUUGUCCAUAAGUGUCAUUCUUGGGCUUAAACUCAGUUUCAUUCCUUUGUACAUUACGUGAACUGAUGUCAACACAGUUGCGACGAGUUACACUGAAAUUUUCCUAGGAUACAGUGAUCACAAAUUCGAGUGUGUGCGUCUAUCCUCUCGCUUCUUAAUCUUGGCGUCCUCGCGAUAACUGCUCAUUAUUCAUGACAUAUGCAUGGAUUCCCACUCCUUCUUUGAGGAUAUUCAUCAAGAAUUCAGAGCUUUCGCCCCUGCAAAAAAAAGGUGAAUAUCGCGAUUUACACUGGACAGCGUGGAGACCCAAAGCUUGAUUGCGAGUAAAUUAAAUGGGUGAUUUUGCUUCAUUGUUGACAAGUAAGAGUAGAAGGAGAGGUUCUUUUUUGAGGCAAGGAGAUAAAGGCAUGGUAUAUGAAGGUCAGUCCAAAUUGCGUGAUUGUGGAAUGGUGCCUUAAGGUGGAUUUCAUGGCCUUAGAAUAAUCAUGGGGGAUGCUUCUACGGUUACCAAAAAUAUUACCAAGUAAGUUUUUUUAAAGUAUUAAUGGUGUUCUUUAAUCUGAGCAAUUGUGUUUGGCAUGAUAGGGAGGUAGUUGUGGUUUCUUUACAUGGCAUGACAGUGAUCUCGAACAAAGGUAGAAGAUUGUUCUUAAUGAGCUGGUGGGUCACAUUGAGAGGUUGUAUGAAGGGAAUGAGAUGCUGAGACGAAGAAAAGUUCUUAGUGUAGAGCUUAAUUCCGUAGAGUGUUGAAGAAGAUAAAGCCUAAACAAAGAGGAAGGAAAUGGAUUUGGUACAUAAGAGGAAGAAGUUCAAGAUGGCUGUCGCAACAUUAUUGUGUUCUUGGUUUUUUUUUUGUUAUGUAAUUAACUAUAGGCUUGAAGUUGUCAAUUUUCCAAGACUGUUUCCCUUUCACUAGUUGAAACUUGGUCCUAUAGCUAGCCUUGUAAGUCUCCUUACGGAAAUAGUGUGAAAUUCAAAUGAAAGGGUUAACCUUUA